UUGACCUCNAAUCAGGUAGGACUACCCGCUGAACUUAAC
rnacentral:rRNA from 1 species